UACGGGAGGAGCAGUGGGGAAUAUUGCACAAUGGGCGCAAGCCUGAUGCAGCCAUGCCGCGUGUAUGAAAAAGGCCUUCGGGUUGUAAAGUACUUUCAGUCGUGAGGAAGGUGUUAAGGUUAAUAACCUUAGCAAUUGACGUUAGCGACAGAAGAAGCACCGGCUAACUCCGUGCCAGCAGCCGCGGUAAUACGGAGGGUGCGAGCGUUAAUCGGAAUUACUGGGCGUAAAGGGCACGCAGGCGGUUAAUUAAGUUGGAUGUGAAAUCCCCGGGCUUAACCUGGGAAUGGCAUUCAAGACUGGUUAGCUAGAGUCUUGUAGAGGGGGUAGAAUUCCAUGUGUAGCGGUGAAAUGCGUAGAGAUGUGGAGGAAUACCGGUGGCGAAGGCGGCCCCUGGACAAAGACUGACGCUCAUGUGCGAAAGCGUGGGGAGCGAAACAGGGAUUAGAUACCCGU
rnacentral:rRNA from 1 species